UACGAAGGGGGCUAGCGUUGCUCGGAUUGACUGGGCGUAAAGGGCGCGUAGGCGGUUCGUACAGUCAGACGUGAAAUUCCUGGGCUCAACCUGGGGGCUGCGUUUGAUACGUGCGGACUUGAGUGCGGAAGAGGGUCGUGGAAUUCCCAGUGUAGAGGUGAAAUUCGUAGAUAUUAGGAAGAACACCGGUGGCGAAGGCGGGUCUCUGGGCAGUAACUGACGCUGAGGAGCGAAAGCGUGGGGAGCGAACAGG
rnacentral:rRNA from 1 species